rnacentral:misc_RNA from 1 species
AAUAGUCCAAGAGGGGGGUGAAUUAGACUUUAACACUUUUUCGGCCCUUGCUUGUAGCCUUAUGAAAAAUUGUGGCUUUGUUCAAUUAGGUGCUCCUUUAUAUAUAGUGAAGGUGAUAUGUGUUUCAAUAAUGUGUCCCUAAAUUGCAAUUCAAGCUUUAAUCAAUAUUUAUAGCAAUUUUUAACAUAACACGCAUCACAAAAUAUUCAACUAAUUUCUCAACCUACUCAAUAUAUCCUCAAGUAUAUCAACUCAAUCUAUUCAAUCAACAUUCAAUAUCAUGCAUAGAAAUUAAAUUACACAAAAGUAAAGAGAUUAAGGUUAGAGAGAUCAAACACAAUGAUUUUUAUAGUGGUUCGCCUUAACUAGCUUAAACCCUUGACAAGUGCUAUCUCAA